ensembl:lncRNA
GCUGCUGGGAUGCCACCGUGAUCCCUUUCCAGGAAACGGCCUCAAAAUGGGCCAUGCGAUUUAUGGUGAGGAAGGCUUACAAUGAGGUAACAAGAAGUUAAAUGCAUAACGAGUACUGUCUUUGGUUAAUGGCCUGGAUUUAUUCUCGAGGCAGUGAUUUUCUUUUUUUUUUUUUUUUCUGAAAGUCCAAAAGGUCGUUCGGAUAACAUUAAAAGUGAAGUUUUUCAUAUUCAAGGAAAUUGAAUUUUCAGAAGGAACUCAUAAAUGCCAUCCGAAGAGCCGUGCUGCCUUCCACAGCAGCUGCGCUCCCAUCAGUCCGGAUGCUGCUUUCCCAUCUCUCAUUUAUUACUGAUGUAGAAGUAAUGUCACAGCUGAUGCUUCCUCUGUGUUGUGAAUGGUUUCGGUUCUUUUCUGUUUCAGGGCAGGGAAUUUAUUGUCCCUCUCUCCACGCAGCGGCUCCAUCCUCUCACACAGCGUUAGCUGAUGCCAUCCUCACACACCUUUUUGCAGAAUUCACUUCUGAAUCCUCAUGGCCCCAGUGCUGCCGUGUUCCUCCCGGUCUCUUAACGUGUGUGAGGGUUUCACACGUGCUGGCAGUGCCAUUGGCAGUGAGGCUUGUCUGGGCUUUCAGAGCGCUCACGAUCUGUUCUGUGUGCACCACACUAGAGGAGAGCUGCAGGUUUGUAGCAGAGGACAAACGUUUUCCAUAUUUGAUUUUCCUAAGCAGCUCAGCACUUGUCUGUCAUUGCAGGCGAUGCUGUCUGUGUUCCAGGCUUCUGCUGUUUGAAAUUACACACCCAACAGGCCCCUCUCUCUGCCAAGAUCCAUGAGCAACUUGUGAAACGCUCACAAAUAAACUUUUACACCACAGCUUGCAUGUUGGAACUGCCAAGCAAGCAGGAAUGGCUGCAGCAGCCCUGCUUUGGUGCAUCUCCCUGCUGGGACCAGCAUCACCUGCAGAAAUGCAUAGGUUUGUAGGGGUAACGACUGGCAGCUUGUAGGUUUCUUAAAAUUCAAGCUUCUGAAAUGGUGCUGUACUAAGAAAAUGCUGGCUUUGUUGUUUUUUUUUAUAAAAAAGUUGGAUUUCUUCUGAUUGCAUAGAAAAGCUUGAAAGGCAUAAAUGUGAUGAGCCUAAAACCUAUAAGGCAAACAACAAGGAAGUGAAAUACGGCAACCACUAAAACUUUGCAAUCUGAUGCCUGCAUUUCUAGGCAGGUUUCACAACAUUAAGACAACAGGAACGAGAAUAGUGCUCAGAUGGGAAUUUAAAAAAGAAUUUGCUCCUGCAGACUGCAAACGAAUGCUUGGGUGUGGUGGAGGAGGUGGAAGUGGUGGCUCUCCCAGCCUGGCGCUCUGUGCAGUAGUGACGGCUCCAGGAGCAGCUGCUGCAGGGCUGCUCGGACUGAGGGGGAGCAUUUGUCUCUGGUGUCACCUCCCAUGAGCUGCUGCAGGCAAAACCCCACGGAUGCUUUCCGGUCAGCAGUGCUCAGGCAGUGCCGGGUGCUCCUCCCAGACACUCCAGCUCACGCAGCCUUGAGAAGAUGACAGAAAAACAUGAGAUUUCCCACCACGUGGACUGCACGGUGUCCUUUUCGACCACCUCCUUGUUCUCGUCUUCUCUCCUUCCAUGCCUUCUGGCUUCACACCCUUCUUCCUCCACUCUCUUCACAUCAGCUCCACUCUUCAGCAGUUUUCCUGGGUCAUCUCCAUCUCCGAAGGCAUGUUUAGGUGCGUCUGAUGUUUGCUGCCAUGUGUGUUUGCACCACAACUGCUGCUCCUCAGACCUUCCAAAGGCUCUCGCUGGCGUACCUUGGACAAUAACAAAACAAUGCAGCUCUCCGUGACCUGUCGUGUGUCACUGCAUUUCUUCUCUAAAGCAGACAUUAAGCUGCUUACUGCCCUGAGUGUAUGCAUAAUCCAUUACCCUGAACUGUGCUGUGGGACUCCGAUAUGUCUUUCUGUCAAGAAGCGGUGUCAGGUGGGAAGGUUUAGUAGGAGGGCUUUUACCUAAAAGAAAAGAGAUGUGGUGCCGGGCAGGUGGGGAUCUGCUGCCCUGUGAUCCAACAGACAUAGCUCCUAACCAAUGUGAGAUUGAAUAUGUCUGUAAAAAUAGCAACAGUCAGCUGGAAUUUUUGGAAGAGGGAUGAUUAUAGCUGAAGGCUCAUUCGUGAGUUGAGAAAGAGGUAUUGCAGGUUGCAUCUCGUGCCAACAGGUUUCUACUUUGCUGCUGCUUUCUGUUCGUGAGCUGUGAGGUUUUUUCACCUGGCUCUGUGGAUGCUGAGUAUUUAUUUUCAAAACUGCAGGAGCGUGCUGGAUUUAUUCGGGAAGGUACCAGAGCUGCACAUGCAAAUUGCCACUGAACAACCAUGUAAGCCAAUGACCAAUUACAUCAAUAACUGCUUAUUUGCAUAAUGCACUCCUACUUAUGCAUGCAGAUAUAAUAAUUGCAGGCACAAAUGGUGUAAGCGAUUGCAGGUGCAAAAGUGUGUGCGCAGUCACGUGUGCAUGGCCACAAAACCCAUCUCUGUGUGAGCAGCUCUUGCACCAUUCUCCAUGGCGCUGGUACACGAGAGCUGAGAGUUAGGGUCUUUGUUUUGGCCCGGUGCAGCAUUUUACCUGCUGAUUGGGAUUGGUUUUUUCAGUAGAAAUAAACCAGCUCUUCAGUAGCACCGGUUAUUGUGACUCACCCUUCCUUUUGCUGCCAGUUGUCUGCGUGCAGGCAGAGCACAUCUUUAUGUGGGGACUUCUGUAAUGAGGAGCUGGGAUGACACCAGGCCGUGUUUGCAAAGCAGAGGAAGCGAUUGUGAGGAGGCCAGUUCGGAGCUGAAUUUGCAGUUCCUUAUGAGCGGGGUAUGGAGUCAUUGUUCCCACCUUUGGGAGGAAGGCUGGAGCCUUGUCAUCUGCCUCAAGGACCUGCGUAGGUCAGCAUUGCAUUUUACACAGACUGAAGCCUGUUUGAGAUACAGCUCUCCUUUACCGGGACAGUAAAGUGAGUACAAAAGGGCUCGCAUAGAAAAACCUCUUGUGGCACUCAGAAGAAAAAUCAAAAUGAAGAGCUGCUGUAGAUUUCAUAUGCAGUACGUGUAGCCCUGCUCCACAAAGGCAGGUGCCUGGCGUUGCUAACUAGUGAGAUGCAGUGACUGCUCUCGGAGGGGCUGGACGGCAGGGAUGCUACGUGUGAGCCCCAGCCUGGCAACUGAAGCAUGAAAGCACAGGUAACUCAACCCAGGCUGUCUGUGCACACAGGGCUGGUGUCGCUCUUUGACUCCAUUUCCUUCGAGUGAGUUUGUAUUGCUUCUGAUGUGUGUGCAUGAGAGCAAGUGCAACCUUCCUCUCUUCUAACUCGUGUUAAUGCCACUCGCUUGGGUCUGCUCACUACCCGAGCACCACUAACAUAUAAACAACUUCUGGGUUGGUUUCAGAACUGCUUGCAAUACCAAAUAGCACAAUCAAGUGUUCCUUCACACCUUCCUUAGCUUCUGCUUGCAGGGUGGCAGCUGAAAACCAUGCUCUCUUUUCCCUUUCUACUCACCAAGAAUGUUCUGCCCGUCUCAGGAAUUCAGUAUUUCUUUCUAUGUCCUUUUUUUCCUGCAGCUUGUUUGUUG